rnacentral:rRNA from 1 species
AUUGAACGCUGGCGGCGUGCUUAACACAUGCAAGUCGAACGAUGAUGCCCAGCUUGCUGGGUGGAUUAGUGGCGAACGGGUGAGUAACACGUGAGUAACCUGCCCCUGACUCUGGGAUAAGCGUUGGAAACGACGUCUAAUACUGGAUAUGACUGCCGGCCGCAUGGUCUGGUGGUGGAAAGAUUUUUUGGUUGGGGAUGGACUCGCGGCCUAUCAGCUUGUUGGUGAGGUAAUGGCUCACCAAGGCGACGACGGGUAGCCGGCCUGAGAGGGUGACCGGCCACAAUGGGACUGAGACACGGCCCAGACUCCUACGGGAGGCAGCAGUGGGGAAUAUUGCACAAUGGGCGAAAGCCUGAUGCAGCAACGCCGCGUGAGGGAUGACGGCCUUCGGGUUGUAAACCUCUUUUAGUAGGGAAGAAGCGUAAGUGACGGUACCUGCAGAAAAAGCACCGGCUAACUACGUGCCAGCCGCCGCCGUAA